UGGAGCAUGUGGUUUAAUUCGAAGCAACGCGCAGAACCUUACCAACCCUUGACAUCGCAGGACCGCUCCAGAGAUGGAGUUUUCUCGUAAGAGACCUGUGGACAGGUGCUGCAUGGCUGUCGUCAGCUCGUGUCGUGAGAUGUUCGGUUAAGUCCGGCAACGAGCGCAACCCACACCCUUAGUUGCCAGCAUUCAGUUGGGCACUCUAAGGGAACUGCCCGUGAUAAGCGGGAGGAAGGUGUGGAUGACGUCAAGUCCUCAUGGCCCUUACGGGUUGGGCUACACACGUGCUACAAUGGUGGUGCCAGUGGGUUAAUCCCCAAAAGCCAUCUCAGUUCGGAUUGUCGUCUGCAACUCGACGGCAUGAAGUCGGAAUCGCUAGUAAUCGCGUAACAGCAUGGCG
rnacentral:rRNA from 1 species